rnacentral:tRNA from 1 species
AUUUAUGUAGUUUAAUAAAAACGUUACAUUUUCACUGUAAAGAUAAAGAAAACUUUUAUAAAUA